rnacentral:rRNA from 1 species
AUACGGAGGGUGCAAGCGUUAUCCGGAAUCAUUGGGUUUAAAGGGUCCGUAGGCGGGCUAAUAAGUCAGGGGUGAAAUCCCACAGCUUAACUGUGGAACUGCCCUUGAUACUGUUGGUCUCGAGUUACAGUGAAGUGGUUAGAAUGUGUAGUGUAGCGGUGAAAUGCAUAGAGAUUACACAGAAUACCGAUUGCGAAGGCAGAUCACUAACUGUAUACUGACGCUAAUGGACGAAAGCGUGGGGAGCGAACAGGAUUAGAAACCCUAGUAGUCC